CAGUCGCCACGGUAAUACGGAGGGAGCUAGCGUUGUUCGGAAUCACUGGGCGUAAAGCGCACGUAGGCGGCUAUUCAAGUCAGGGGUGAAAGCCCGGGGCUCAACCCCGGAACUGCCUUUGAAACUAGAUAGCUUGAAUCUUGGAGAGGCGAGUGGAAUUCCGAGUGUAGAGGUGAAAUUCGUAGAUAUUCGGAAGAACACCAGUGGCGAAGGCGACUCGCUGGACAAGUAUUGACGCUGAGGUGCGAAAGCGUUGGGAGCAAACAGGAUUAGAUACCCGUGUAGUCCCUGUCUCUUAUAC
rnacentral:rRNA from 1 species